AGUGAACGCUGGCGGUAGGCCUAACACAUGCAAGUCGAACGGCAGCACAGUAAGAGCUUGCUCUUACGGGUGGCGAGUGGCGGACGGGUGAGGAAUAUAUCGGAAUCUACUUUUUCGUGGGGGUUAACGUAGGGAAACUUACGCUAAUACCGCAUACGACCUACGGGUGAAAGCAUGGGAUCUUCGGACCUUGCGCGAUUGAAUGAGCCGAUGUCGGAUUAGCUAGUUGGCGGGGUAAAGGCCCACCAAGGCGACGAUCCGUAGCUGGUCUGAGAGGAUGAUCAGCCACACUGGAACUGGGACACGGUCCAGACUCCUACGGGAGGCAGCAGUGGGGAAUAUUGGACAAUGGGCGCAAGCCUGAUCCAGCCAUACCGCGUGGGUGAAGAAGGCCUUCGGGUUGUAAAGCCCUUUUGUUGGGAAAGAAAAGCAGCAGGUUAAUACCCCGCUGUUCUGACGGUACCCAAAGAAUAAGCACCGGCUAACUUCGUG
rnacentral:rRNA from 1 species